rnacentral:rRNA from 1 species
GACGAACGCUGGCGGCGUGCUUAACACAUGCAAGUCGAACGGAAAGGCCCGGCUUUUGUGGGGUGCUCGAGUGGCGAACGGGUGAGUAACACGUGAGUAACCUGCCCUUGACUUUGGGAUAACUUCAUGAAACUGGGUCUAAUACCGGAUAGGAGCUCCUGCUGCAUGGUGGGGGCUGGAAAGUUUCGGCGGUUGGGGAUGGACUCGCGUCUUAUCAGCUUGUUGGUGGGGUAGUGGCUUACCAAGGCCUUGACGGGUAGCCGGCCUGAGCGGGUGACCGGCCACAUUGGGACUGGGAUACGGCCCAGACUCCUACGGGAGGCAGCAGUGGAGAAUAUUGCACAAUGGGCGGAAGCCUGAUGCAGCAACGCCGCGUGCGGGAUGACGGCCUUCGGGUUGUAAACCGCUUUCGCCUGUGCCGAAGCGUGAGUGACGGUAAUGGGUAAAGAAGCACCGGCUAACUACGUG